UGGGGAAUUGUUCACAAUGGGCGCAAGCCUGAUGACGCAACGCCGCGUGGAGGAUGAAGACCUUCGGGUCGUAAACUCCUUUCGACCGAGAUGAAGAGCCUCCGACCUAAUACGUCGGAGGCCUGACAGUAUCGAGGGAAGAAGCCCCGGCUAACUCUGUGCCAGCAGCCGCGGUAAUACAGGGGGGGCAAGCGUUGUUCGGAAUUACUGGGCGUAAAGGGUCUGUAGGUGGCUUACUAAGUCAGACGUGAAAUCCCUCAGCUUAACUGGGGAACUGCGUCUGAUACUGGAAAGCUUGAGUGCAGGAGAGGAACGCGGAAUUCCAGGUGUAGCGGUGAAAUGCGUAGAUAUCUGGAGGAACACCGGUGGCGAAGGCGGCGUUCUGGACUGCAACUGACACUGAGAGACGAAAGCCAGGGGAGCAAACGG
rnacentral:rRNA from 1 species